rnacentral:rRNA from 1 species
CUGCUCAAUGAUAAAAUAUUAAAUAGCUGCAGUAUUAAUAACUGUACUAAGGUAGCAUAAUAAAUAGUUUUUUAAUUAAAAACUUGAAUGAAAGAUUUAAUGAAAAAAUAACUUUAUUUUAUUAAUUAAAAUUUAAUUUUUUUUUUAAAUAAAAAUAUCUAAAUAUUAUAAAUAGACAAAAAGACCCUAUAAAACUUUAUAAAUUAAUUAUUAAAUAAAUAAAAUUAAUUAAUUUAUUUAAUUGGGGAAAUUUAAAAAUUUAAUUAAUUUUUUAUUAUUAAAUUUACAUAAAUUAAUGAAUAUAUUUAAAGUUUUAUAAAAAAAUAAAUCAAGUUACUUUAGGGAUAACAGAAUAAUUUUUUUAAAAAGAUCAAAUUUAUAAAAAAGUUUAUUACCUGCGAUGUUGAAUUAAGAUAUAAAUUAAAGUGAAAAAACUUUUUAUUUAAGUCUGUUCGACU